AUGAACGCUGGCGGCGUGCCUAAGACAUGCAAGUCGAGUGGGUUUAGACCCACGGCGAACGGGUGAGUAAUACCUAGGAAUGUAUCUUUAGUUGAGCAUAUCCUUCCGAAAGGAAGAGCAAUUCUCAAUGUGAUCGCAAGAUUAAAGUCGCAAGACGCUAAAGAAGCAGCCUGGGCACCAUCAGCUAGUUGGUAAGGUAAAAGCUUACCAAGGCUAUGACGGUUAGGGGCCCCGAGAGGGGAGACCCCCACACUGGAACUGCGACACGGUCCAGACUCCUACGGGAGGCAGCAGUUUGGAAUUUUGGACAAUGGGCGAAAGCCUGAUCCAGCGACGCCGCGUGGACGAUGAAGGCCUUCGGGUCGUAAAGUCCUUUUGCUCGGGAACAAUUUUUGAGCGUACCGAGAGAAUAAGAGGUUGCUAACUCUGU
rnacentral:rRNA from 1 species